AACACCUCAACUUCCAUAUCUUUUUUGAAAUGGGAGUUGGACUUGAGUGAUCCCAACGCUUUUCCUCACCGAAAAGUGGCGGGUUACUUGAAAUGCAGGUGCAGCUGGACUUUUCUCUGAGCUAUAAGCAUAUCUAUUUAGUCUGCCUAAAAAACAGAUUAUUACCUUUGCUGCAGCUAACAUAAAGGAGAUUAGUUCUUGUGCUGACUGAUGCAGGAUUCACAAAGACAGGCUUCGGCCGACUUUGUAAAC
rnacentral:misc_RNA from 1 species